CUCACCUGCUGCUUUGAGAUGCACACUUCCUUUCUGUUCCUUCAAGAGUUAUUCACCCAUACCAAGAGAAACAGUGGAUAUCAUGAGCCUUGACAGUCUUUCUAAUUGGGGUGUACUGGAUAAAGAAGAUUUCUUCAGUCCAAAAGGAUAAUGUGACACUCAAUCUCCACUUUCACUGAGGCAUACCUCUGUUUGGCAAACUGAAAGGACAGGAAAAGAAUUGAAGGGUAUUACUGAAGACUUUAUAGUAACUACCAAAUAGCAGAGUUAGUGACUAUACCUACUGGCAGUGAUCCAGAUUUGUAACUUGCACAUGUGCAAUUCACAUUUGUACUAAAAACUAAUUUCCUACUGAAGCCAUUGAAGAAAGAUGCUGCAAAGAGCCCAGUCCUCAGAAGAGCUGAGGAGCCCAUGCUGAGGGACUGUUGGCCUCUCAAGACUGCAAUUAGAGCUGAGUGCUGAGCUACUUUCAGAAGAAUUUUGGUACCACCCAGAACUAACGUCCAAAUGUAAACCACUACCAUAAAAAUAGUUCCUUUGUCUUCAGAUGGGAUUACCUCCUUCUAAACAGACAAGCACAUGCAGAUAGAAUGUC